rnacentral:rRNA from 1 species
GCCUCGCUCGGAACGGCAUCGCGACCGGACGACGCGGCCCCCGAAAGGGAGUUGCAUCGGUCCAGACGCUUCGCUAGAAACCGCGCUCCAAUCGACUCAAUGAUGGAUCCGCAAGGGCGGCUUCGGCGGCCCCGGGAUCCUCUUUUUGUCUCUUCGAUCCUGGGUCUCCCGGUUGUCGAAAAAGUCGAAAAGAGUUGGUUGACUUCGGAAUGUCGCCUCAUUAGAAGCGCCGCUCCGAACAUCGCCGCCAAGACUUCGCAAGAAUUCAGCGGCGCGAUGUAAGGUCUAGUUACUCGAUGCUUUGAAGUUUCUUCAAAAUAAUCGGUUGACUGGAUUGGCCGACUUCUCUAGAAGCUGGCCGCUCUGGCGGGCCCCGGUUUUCGGGUUUCGCCGCUCCGGUUCGAAAAGUUUUGAAAAAAACGAUUUGACACGGAAUUCGGGGUUGGAUAGAUAGCCGCCUCCGCCGACAUCGGGCGCUAAACGAUGGGGCCGCUGAGGCGGUUCGGGUCUUUGACAUUGUUGAAUUGGAAAGAGAAACGCAGGCGGCGGCGCUCUGGCGAUGACCUUCGGGUCAUCAACUGACGCUGACGAAUGCGGUCUCUUGAAGAAGACACCAUUACGCCGGUCUGGCCUUCGGGUUGGAUCGAGUGAUGGGAACUCGUCAAGAAACUAUGCAAACCAGAUACCUGGUUCUGGGUUUUCCCCUGGAACUGGAAGUCUGAAGUCAAUGUCAACUCAACCUGAGAGUUUGAUCCUGGCUCAGAGCGAACGCUGGCGGCAGGCCUAACACAUGCAAGUCGAACGGAUCC